GAUGAAGAACGUAGCGAAAUGCGAUAAGUAGUGUGAAUUGCAGACUUUAGUGAAUCAUCGAAUCUUUGAACGCACAUUGCGCCCCUUGGUAUUCCAUUGGGCAUGCCUGUUCGAGCGUCAUUUACACCCUCAAGCCUAGCUUGGUGUUGGGCGUUGUCCGCAAGGACUCGCCUCAAAUUCAUUGGCAGCGGCAUCGUCAGCUUCUCGCGCAGCACAUUGCGCUUCAGAAGGCUUCUGGCGGGCUCGCGUCCACUAAGAUACCACCCAGUUUGACCUCGAAUCAGGUAGGGAUACCCGCUGAACUUAAGCAUAUCAAUAAGCGGAGGA
rnacentral:misc_RNA from 1 species